GGCUCCUGGAGUCCACAUUUAAAAGGCACACUCCACAAGCAAGUUCCUGAGCAUUUUUAAUCCCAGGCCGUAGCAUACAAGAGGAAAAAUCCAGCGAAUUUUCAUCAGGCUGUGAGGACAAGACAAAUGGGACUCUUCUAUGACACAGGCACUGAAACUAAAGCAAACGGUGGAAGAAGGGUUGGUGCUGUUUAGAAACAUUCUUAGAGACGUGAAGAAGCAAAAAGUCAGACAGAAAUCGUGAUAUGUUUCUGUAAAGCUACACCAAGCGAGCCUGCCUCCCCUCCGGCCUCCCCCACCCCUUGGGCCUCUGCCAGCCCCGAGACAGCAAGCUCUCCUCUUUCUUCUCCUCCUCUUCAGCCUACUCAGUGUGAAAAAGGCGGAUGAAGACCUUUUUGAUGAUCCACUUCCACUUAAUGAAUAGUAAAAUAAAUCACCCUGUCAUACAGUUAAUAACCUUAUCUGUUGUGUAUUUGUGUGUGUGUGAAAAAACUGUAGGGGAAGAGCUGUCUGAGAUGUUUUGUGUCAUUACAAUUGUCACCUAAGUAUUCAUCGCAAAGAACAUCAUGUGCAAGACUUGGUUGGGAGUGGAUAGCCUGCCUUUAUGUGAGCAUAAGCUGAGUGAUAGUUAAUAUGAAAUUAAUAUUACAUUAGUUUUCUCACUGUUUUAUAACUUCUUUCAAAGAAUUUCAUUACUGUACAGUAUGCCUAAUAAUUGGAGAAACUGCGUAUCAACCUAUCAAUACAGGUAAGUGGUUUCUUAAAAUACCUAACAAUGUUUCUAAUACUGUGUUAUGAAUAUGACUGUGAUACUGUAUGUCAUACAAAUUUUAUAAAGAUUUAUUCAUUUGUGUAUAGACCAGGUGACCCUAAAACAAUCAUAUUGCUAUUUCUUUGUUAUCAAUGCAUAAAUCAUAUACCUGUAUAUACACAUGAAUGUCCUUUUUA